CAACACCACACAGGCAACCAACUCAUUGCCCAGAGCUGGAUGGAUCUAUUAUAACGCCUGCCACUUCAUCUUGGGACCCAGUUGAAGCACAAGUGACUCAUCACACAGAGGGAGGUGGCUUGGCCAUGGAGACGGAAAUAAGAGCAAUAAGGACAACCAUUACCGCAUGGCACAGUGAAUGGACGCAUUUGAGGAGAAGAUGGAUGAGCUGCUCAUGCUCUUAAGGAGCUCCCAGUCACCUCCCUCUGCUCCAGUCGAUGACAUAUUGCUGUCGUCCUGCUCAACAGUCACUGAGCUGCAGGAGAGGAGGAACAAAAUGCCCUCCCUCCAGGACUUGUACUCUGGGACCUAAGCGGGCAGAGACCAUCACCAAAGACUCCACAUUUCCUGCACACACACUCUUUAACUUCCUCCCCUCUGGCAGGCGCUACAGAU